GAUGAACGCUGGCGGCGUGCCUAAUACAUGCAAGUCGAGCGAACGGACGAGAAGCUUGCUUCUCUGAUGUUAGCGGCGGACGGGUGAGUAACACGUGGAUAACCUACCUAUAAGACUGGGAUAACUUCGGGAAACCGGAGCUAAUACCGGAUGAUAUUUUGAACCGCAUGGUUCAAAAGUGAAAGACGGUCUUGCUGUCACUUAUAGAUGGAUCCGCGCUGCAUUAGCUAGUUGGUAAGGUAACGGCUUACCAAGGCAACGAUGCAUAGCCGACCUGAGAGGGUGAUCGGCCACACGGGAACUGAGACACGGUCCAGACUCCGACGGGAGGCAGCAGUAGGGAAUCUUGCGCAAUGGGCGAAAGCCUGACGGAGCAACGCAGCGUGAGGGAGGAAGGUCGUCGGAUCGUAAAACUCUGUUAUGAGGGAAGAACAUAUGUGUAAGUAACUGUGCACAUCUUGACGGUACCUAAUCAGAAAGCCACGGCUAACUACGUG
rnacentral:rRNA from 1 species